GCAAUCCUGAAAACAUUAAACCUGCGAGGUGUUGCUGCAGAGCCUAAUUUUAAGGAUUGAAUUGCAACAACAAAAGUAUAUGAAAAAUUUCAUGAAUCAGUUAGAAUUGCGAUGGUGGGAAAAUAUACUAACCUUUCAGAUGCAUAUCUUUCUGUAUUGAAGGUACAU